ACAAUGCGUCAUUCUGUAAGCUAUGAAUCCGAAGCCUGUCGAAGCAUUAUAUGGGCUAUCCAUAUUCUGCUCCUCAAUGAGUAAACGGCGUUCAAAUAUAUGAGCUUGGAUAACGUCGGAGAAACCCAACCCCUAGGGGGAAUGGGCGAUAUGUCUAAAUUGAAAGGA
rnacentral:ribozyme from 1 species